AACUUCUGAAUGUUGACCUCGGAUCAGGUAGGAAUACCCGCUGAACUUAAGCAUAUCAAAGGAGG
rnacentral:rRNA from 1 species